rnacentral:rRNA from 1 species
CCCCCCGAAUUGUAGUCUGGAGAGGCGUCAUCGGUCGCAGCCCGCGCUAAAAUCCCUUGGAACGGGGUAUCGGAGAAGGUGAGAAUCCUGUGCCGCGCGGGCGUGCGGUCGCACGAUGCGUUCUCGUAGAGUCGGGCUGCUUGGGAGUGCAGUCUGAAGCGGGUGGUAAAUUCCAUCUAAAGCUAAAUACUGGCUCAUGACCGAUAGCGAACAAGUACCGUGAGGGAAAGAUGCAAAGAACUUUGAAAAGAGAGUUAAAGAGUGCUUGAAAUCGGAGCGAGGAAACCCGUUUGCGCCCGGCUUCGCGCCGUCGACUCAGCCGUCUCGAAGCGGUGCACUUUGUCGGCGCGGGUCCUGCGCGACUGCUUGCGUCUCACAAUCGUCGGGUGGGCUUCGGUGAUCCCGUAGAUGUGCGCUUGCGGUCCCGCUGGACGGAACGGGCGCAACCGACCCGUCUAGAAACACGGACCAAGGAGUCUGACACGGAUGCGAGUACCCGGGUGGCAAGCCCGCGUGCGCAAUGAAAGUGAAGGGCGUUCGGCGCCAACCGACCUUGAUCUUCUGUGAAGGGUUUGAGUGGAGCACAUCUGUCGGGACCCGAAAGAUGGUGAACUAUGCCUGAGGAGGGUGAAGCCAGAGGAAACUCUGGUGGAGGCUCGUAGCGAUACUGACGUGCAAAUCGUUCGUCGAACUUGGGUAUAGGGGCGAAAGACUAAUCGAACCAUCUAGUAGCUGGUUCCCUCCGAAGUUUCCCUCAGGAUAGCUUGAACGCCGACGGUUUUGU